GGGCCAGUGGCGUAAUUGGUAGCCGCAAUCGACUUAAGAUCGAUCGCCGUAAGGCAUGUGGGUUCGAUUCCCACCUGGCCCACAA
rnacentral:tRNA from 1 species